GGUUAAGCGACUAAGCGUACACGGUGGAUGCCCUGGCAGUCAGAGGCGAUGAAGGACGUGCUAAUCUGCGAUAAGCGUCGGUAAGGUGAUAUGAACCGUUAUAACCGGCGAUUUCCGAAUGGGGAAACCCAGUGUGUUUCGACACACUAUCAUUAACUGAAUCCAUAGGUUAAUGAGGCGAACCGGGGGAACUGAAACAUCUAAGUACCCCGAGGAAAAGAAAUCAACCGAGAUUCCCCCAGUAGCGGCGAGCGAACGGGGAGCAGCCCAGAGCCUGAAUCAGUGUGUGUGUUAGUGGAAGCGUCUGGAAAGGCGCGCGAUACAGGGUGACAGCCCCGUACACAAAAAUGCACAUGCUGUGAGCUCGAUGAGUAGGGCGGGACACGUGGUAUCCUGUCUGAAUAUGGGGGGACCAUCCUCCAAGGCUAAAUACUCCUGACUGACCGAUAGUGAACCAGUACCGUGAGGGAAAGGCGAAAAGAACCCCGGCGAGGGGAGUGAAAAAGAACCUGAAACCGUGUACGUACAAGCAGUGGGAGCACGCUUAGGCGUGUGACUGCGUACCUUUUGUAUAAUGGGUCAGCGACUUAUAUUCUGUAGCAAGGUUAACCGAAUAGGGGAGCCGAAGGGAAACCGAGUCUUAACUGGGCGUUAAGUUGCAGGGUAUAGACCCGAAACCCGGUGAUCUAGCCAUGGGCAGGUUGAAGGUUGGGUAACACUAACUGGAGGACCGAACCGACUAAUGUUGAAAAAUUAGCGGAUGACUUGUGGCUGGGGGUGAAAGGCCAAUCAAACCGGGAGAUAGCUGGUUCUCCCCGAAAGCUAUUUAGGUAGCGCCUCGUGAAUUCAUCUCCGGGGGUAGAGCACUGUUUCGGCAAGGGGGUCAUCCCGACUUACCAACCCGAUGCAAACUGCGAAUACCGGAGAAUGUUAUCACGGGAGACACACGGCGGGUGCUAACGUCCGUCGUGAAGAGGGAAACAACCCAGACCGCCAGCUAAGGUCCCAAAGUCAUGGUUAAGUGGGAAACGAUGUGGGAAGGCCCAGACAGCCAGGAUGUUGGCUUAGAAGCAGCCAUCAUUUAAAGAAAGCGUAAUAGCUCACUGGUCGAGUCGGCCUGCGCGGAAGAUGUAACGGGGCUAAACCAUGCACCGAAGCUGCGGCAGCGACGCUUAUGCGUUGUUGGGUAGGGGAGCGUUCUGUAAGCCUGUGAAGGUGUGCUGUGAGGCAUGCUGGAGGUAUCAGAAGUGCGAAUGCUGACAUAAGUAACGAUAAAGCGGGUGAAAAGCCCGCUCGCCGGAAGACCAAGGGUUCCUGUCCAACGUUAAUCGGGGCAGGGUGAGUCGACCCCUAAGGCGAGGCCGAAAGGCGUAGUCGAUGGGAAACAGGUUAAUAUUCCUGUACUUGGUGUUACUGCGAAGGGGGGACGGAGAAGGCUAUGUUGGCCGGGCGACGGUUGUCCCGGUUUAAGCGUGUAGGCUGGUUUUCCAGGCAAAUCCGGAAAAUCAAGGCUGAGGCGUGAUGACGAGGCACUACGGUGCUGAAGCAACAAAUGCCCUGCUUCCAGGAAAAGCCUCUAAGCAUCAGGUAACAUCAAAUCGUACCCCAAACCGACACAGGUGGUCAGGUAGAGAAUACCAAGGCGCUUGAGAGAACUCGGGUGAAGGAACUAGGCAAAAUGGUGCCGUAACUUCGGGAGAAGGCACGCUGAUAUGUAGGUGAAGCGACUUGCUCGUGGAGCUGAAAUCAGUCGAAGAUACCAGCUGGCUGCAACUGUUUAUUAAAAACACAGCACUGUGCAAACACGAAAGUGGACGUAUACGGUGUGACGCCUGCCCGGUGCCGGAAGGUUAAUUGAUGGGGUCAGCGCAAGCGAAGCUCUUGAUCGAAGCCCCGGUAAACGGCGGCCGUAACUAUAACGGUCCUAAGGUAGCGAAAUUCCUUGUCGGGUAAGUUCCGACCUGCACGAAUGGCGUAAUGAUGGCCAGGCUGUCUCCACCCGAGACUCAGUGAAAUUGAACUCGCUGUGAAGAUGCAGUGUACCCGCGGCAAGACGGAAAGACCCCGUGAACCUUUACUAUAGCUUGACACUGAACAUUGAGCCUUGAUGUGUAGGAUAGGUGGGAGGCUUUGAAGUGUGGACGCCAGUCUGCAUGGAGCCGACCUUGAAAUACCACCCUUUAAUGUUUGAUGUUCUAACGUUGACCCGUAAUCCGGGUUGCGGACAGUGUCUGGUGGGUAGUUUGACUGGGGCGGUCUCCUCCUAAAGAGUAACGGAGGAGCACGAAGGUUGGCUAAUCCUGGUCGGACAUCAGGAGGUUAGUGCAAUGGCAUAAGCCAGCUUGACUGCGAGCGUGACGGCGUGAGCAGGUGCGAAAGCAGGUCAUAGUGAUCCGGUGGUUCUGAAUGGAAGGGCCAUCGCUCAACGGAUAAAAGGUACUCCGGGGAUAACAGGCUGAUACCGCCCAAGAGUUCAUAUCGACGGCGGUGUUUGGCACCUCGAUGUCGGCUCAUCACAUCCUGGGGCUGAAGUAGGUCCCAAGGGUAUGGCUGUUCGCCAUUUAAAGUGGUACGCGAGCUGGGUUUAGAACGUCGUGAGACAGUUCGGUCCCUAUCUGCCGUGGGCGCUGGAGAACUGAGGGGGGCUGCUCCUAGUACGAGAGGACCGGAGUGGACGCAUCACUGGUGUUCGGGUUGUCAUGCCAAUGGCACUGCCCGGUAGCUAAAUGCGGAAGAGAUAAGUGCUGAAAGCAUCUAAGCACGAAACUUGCCCCGAGAUGAGUUCUCCCUGACUCCUUGAGAGUCCUGAAGGAACGUUGAAGACGACGACGUUGAUAGGCCGGGUGUGUAAGCGCAGCGAUGCGUUGAGCUAACCGGUACUAAUGAACCGUGAGGCUUAACCUUACAACGCCGAAGAUGUUUUG
rnacentral:rRNA from 1 species